UAGGGAAAGAUAAAAGAAAGAAAAGAAGGAUGGAAACAAAAAGAAAUAAGUUUCUAAAGAUAUAGAAUAUGAGUUGUCAAAAAGAUUCAAGACAAUUGUCUUUGGUUUAAGACCAGUCAAGGAACAUCUUUAGAAAACAAAAUAAUAAACACAAGUAAACAAGUAAGCAAACAUGAGUUGAUGAUAUAUGGGUAAUAUCACAUAAACCAAGAAGUUUCACAUCAUUACCCAACAUUC
rnacentral:lncRNA from 1 species